rnacentral:rRNA from 1 species
GAUGAACGCUGGCGGCGUGCUUAACACAUGCCAGUCGAACGAUGAAGCCCAGCUUGCUGGGUGGAUUAGUGGCGAACGGGUGAGUAACACGUGAGUAACCUGCCCUUAACUCUGGGAUAAGCCUGGGAAACUGGGUCUAAUACCGGAUAGGAGCGUCCACCGCAUGGUGGGUGUUGGAAAGAUUUAUCGGUUUUGGAUGGACUCGCGGCCUAUCAGCUUGUUGGUGAGGUAAUGGCUCACCAAGGCGACGACGGGUAGCCGGCCUGAGAGGGUGACCGGCCACAAGGGGACUGAGACACGGACCAGACUCCUACGGGAGGCAGCAGUGGGGAAUAUUGCACAAUGGGCGCAAGCCUGAUGCAGCGACGCCGCGUGAGGGAUGACGGCCUUCGGGUUGUAAACCUCUUUCAGUAGGGAAGAAGCGAAAGUGACGGUACCUUCAGAAGAAGCACCGGCUAACUACGUG